rnacentral:rRNA from 1 species
UACGUAGGUGACAAGCGUUGUCCGGAUUUACUGGGCGUAAAGAGCGCGUAGGCGGCCAUUCAAGUCGGAGGUGAAAGCCCAGGGCUCAACCCUGGAAUUGCCUUCGAUACUGUUUGGCUAGAGACCGGAAGAGGUAAGUGGAACUGCGAGUGUAGAGGUGAAAUUCGUAGAUAUUCGCAAGAACACCAGUGGCGAAGGCGGCUUACUGGUCCGGUUCUGACGCUGAGGCGCGAAAGCGUGGGGAGCAAACAGG